rnacentral:rRNA from 1 species
GACGAACCGUCCAAACGUUACUCGGAAUUACUGGGCUUAAAGGGUGCGUAGGCUGCGCAGAAAGUUGGGUGUGAAAUCCCUCGGCUCAACCGGGGAAUUGCAUCCAAAACUACUGUGCUCGAGGGAGACAGAGGUAAGCGGAACGCAAGGUGGAGCGGUGAAAUGCGUUGAUAUCUUGAGGAACACCGGUGGCGAAAGCGGCUUACUGGGUCUCUUCUGACGCUGAGGCACGAAAGCUACGGUAGCAAACGGG